rnacentral:rRNA from 1 species
UACGAGGGGGGCAAGCGUUGUUCGGAAUUAUUGGGCGUAAAGGGCGCGUAGGCGGUGCGGUAAGUCACCUGUGAAAACUCUGGGCUCAACUCAGAGCCUGCAGGCGAAACUGCCGUGCUUGAGUGUGGGAGAGGUGCGUGGAAUUCCCGGUGUAGCGGUGAAAUGCGUAGAUAUUGGGAGGAACACCAGUGGCGAAGGCGGCUCACUGGACCGGAACUGACGCUGAGGCGCGAAAGCGUGGGGAGCAAACGGG